GCUGCUGCUGCAGCUGCAGCAAUUUCUGCUGCUGCUGUUGCGCUUGCCUCUGUUGUUGUUGUUGCUGCUGCUGCUGCUGCUGC